AUUGAACGCUGGCGGCAUGCCUUACACAUGCAAGUCGAACGGCAGCACGGGGCAACCUGGUGGCGAGUGGCGAACGGGUGAGUAAUGCAUCGGAACGUGCCAUUGAGUGGGGGAUAACGUAGCGAAAGUUGCGCUAAUACCGCAUAUUCUGUGAGCAGGAAAGCAGGGGACCGCAAGGCCUUGCGCUCUUUGAGCGGCCGAUGUCAGAUUAGCUAGUUGGUGAGGUAACGGCUUACCAAGGCGACGAUCUGUAGCGGGUCUGAGAGGAUGAUCCGCCACACUGGAACUGAGACACGGUCCAGACUCCUACGGGAGGCAGCAGUGAGGAAUUUUGGGACAAUGGGCGCAAGCCUGAUCCAGCCAUGCCGCGUGAGUGAAGAAGGCCUUCGGG
rnacentral:rRNA from 1 species